AUAGGAGGAUAUAAUGAGUACAGAUUCCUUGAGAUUGUCUGCACAGAAAAUCACAUUGCCUACCAAAUGAAAAUCUGACCAGUAAUGCCCACUUAUCUACCUCUCUGAAGUACUGGAAGAAUUAAUGAUGGACUGUAAAAUGUACUGAAGAUGAAGAGAACACUAUGAGAUUUGAUGUGUAUUUUUGAAAA